UUCUGUUGUCCUUCAUUCCACCGGAGUCUGUCUCAUACCUAACCAGAUUUCAGUGGAGUGAAGCGCAAGAGACA
rnacentral:pre_miRNA from 1 species